rnacentral:misc_RNA from 1 species
GUAGGUGAACCUGCGGAAGGAUCAUUACCAAAUCCAAAAAAACUUUAUCAACACUUGAUGUGAACUGAGAAUGGUUCCGUUCCCUUCCUUGUUUUUUCUUAUUUCUUUUUUUUAAAUUUAAUUUAAGAAAAGAAAAAGGAAGGACGUGGAAGGAAGGGAAUGUAUUUUUUUUCCAACCCCUUUUCAACCAUUUUACAACCCCAUUUCUUUAUGCUGAAAGCAAAAAAAAAACGAAACAUGAGACAACUUUUAACGGUGGAUCUCUUGGCUCGU